GGAUUCACCAACAUUCAGUCAUGGAGAGAGGAGGGUCUCACUAGGUCUCACCCCUCUCCAAGAAGUAAGCUAUGAUUGGUUCCUAGAAAAGAAGGGAUCACUGUGUUUAGGGGUGUAGCCACUGUUAAUGUUCCUGACUCAUGUUCCUGUAGUCAACUCGGAAUACAGUAUGAAACUCACACAAAGAGAGAUGUAACAGGAGGAGGAAGAUGUGGUAAUACAAAGAAGGGACAAGGCAGGAAGGGCAAGGAGAUAAAAGAGGAUAAUAAAAUGAUCGGGACCAAAGUCAAUCAUAUGUGCAUGUGCUCCGAAGUGCGAAGGAAUAAAUACUUAUUUAACAAGAGACCACAUGAAUCUGGAAUUCUGGCACUCUGCUCCUUUUCAUGUUCGUUGACUAUAAGUGAUACCAGUGGCUGUAAAAAGUUGUGAGCUGUUUCCUUGAACUCUGUCAGGCCCCUGACAAUGCUGGAACGUGUGCUUCUCAGCCUUUUGGUAUUCGUCAGAUGGGAUUGCUGGAACCUUCUAGCAGCAGAUCAGUGACUUCACACCUGACUAUGCCUGGUUUUGUGAACACCCUAAGGAGAAUGGGGGCAGUGAGUGAGGGGAGUAUCAAUUCGCAGACAAGCAGAUGCUAUCCUUUCUGUAACCUGUGAACUCACUUAAAUACCUCCUGUCACUUCUCUGAUCUCUAGAUAGCACUGGAUAUUCCACACAUCCAACCCUAGACUCAGGGAGCCCUUCUCAUAUACAACACAAAAGGAAUAUGACUAGCCUGGCUCUACAUGAUGUACGAAUAAGAAAGGACUUCCUGUAUAGGCUACCAUUUGCCUAAGAAUUAGGGACAUCAACUGACACAUGAGAGGUCAUAAAACUACAAAGCUCCAAGAGAAAUAUCAACUUGGAUAAUAAAAAUGUGUACAUGU